rnacentral:pre_miRNA from 1 species
AAGCUUUUUGUUUGCGUUAUGUUUAAAUUAGAAUAUAAGACGAACAAAAAGUUUGU